GGGCUGCCGUCUAUGGGGUCGCACAGAGUCGGACACGACUGAAGCGACUUAGCAGCAGCAGGCGAGUGGAGACCAGCAGAUUCUCCCCUCCUGGAGAGAAACAGUAGGUAGCCCCGCAACACUAACUACCAAAAACACAAAAGGAAACUGAAGUACACAACUCAGCAUACGCCGCUCAGGGUAGCAAAAGAGCAGGUAAGCCACACUGUACCGAACACCCGAGCAGGAAAGCCUGGCUUGCCCACCGCUCUCGGGCACACUGAACCUGGCUGUUCUCUGCCCUGGAGGAGGCCCCACAGCAUCCCGGCUCUCACCCGCCGCCUGCCAGUAGCAUCCUGAGCUGUAACAACUAAACCAUCUCCACUGCCCUUAGUGAAGGUCCCCUGGGGGAUACCAUCGCCCGCCACCCUCCCCAACCCCGGUUGAGAACCCAGGCAACAGACAAUCCCAAACUGAGUUAUAACCUAAAAGCUGCUGACCCUGGAGCGCUUCCUGUGCUGCAGGCUUCUACAAACGGCAGACGGAAUCCCCAGAACCGCCAGAGAAAACCCUCUCUACACCCCACCCCACGGAAGUUUCUCUGCAACUCUGAAGCCCGCCCCGCACCUGACAACACAUCUUCCUUCCAGAAACAUCCUGCCUUUCAGGCUGGUGUGACCGGGGCUGAGGAAUGAUUUACCAGAUGGGAUGGGCAUCUACACUCAACCCUCCAGCUCUCUCUCCUCUUGGAGCCAUCCUGUCCAGUGUUCUGGCCUGCUGCCUGCACCUAAGGGAAAGGAGUGCACUUGUCCAGUACUGCCUGUGACCAGUCGGACAACCAUGACUAAUGUUGGGAUGAAGGGGCAGCAAGACCAAUGCUGAUUUCUCACAUCUGCUCCAAAAAUGAUACAAGUGACAUCUGAUUUCCAAUUCUCGGAUCCUGUAGCUACCUUUUGAUUUAUUCUGAAUCUGGGUAGUGAAAAAUAUAAUCAACCUCUCUCACACAACUAAAUUCCACAGGAGAGGAAUUAGUCUGGUAUUAAAUGGGGCUAGGAAACCAGAAUACAGGGAGUGACACAGCUUCGGAUGUGGCCCAGGUGUAAAUUUCGGCUAUGAACUUGGCCACAAGAUCAACCACCCUGGGCUCCACUUCCUCGUCUGAAAUAAACCAUCAGUCAAGA